UCUGAUAACAAAGCAUCAUGGGUGGUGCGGCUGAGGUCAUUUGCAUACGCAACGAAAGGAAACUUCCUUGAUCGCUGUCGCACGGCUUGCCCGAUUUCUCAGGGGACCUGAUCGUAAUUUUGCAAGUGAUAUUAUUGCUGCGCCGACAACUCACCGCACACCCACUGGGCCCACACACGCGGACCAGCCUACCGCCCUCGAGAGCCGAAAGGGAGAAAGAGAGUCAGGGAGCAAAGUUCGUGAUUCGGACUCGGCAUCAGCCGCUCGCUCAUCUGCAUUCGCACUGAGGGUCAGCGGCACUCACCGGGGAGCUCAAGGAUAAGCAGGAGGACAGAUGGGGAGGAAGAAGAAAGUUAGAUGGCAGCAGAUGGUGCAUACUCGCUUCAAAACUGGCUGAUAUUGGCCGGUGGCAGCAACUGGACAGUCGUCAUGAAAAACGGCCAUAUGUUGCAAUAUGCUGCACAGAUUGAGGCGGGGACGGCCAGGCUCAAAAGUGUGUAUUUAAGGCCACUGAUUUCGGAGUGGGAGCAACCAUCGAGUGCCUGAGCAUAUGUUUGUGUCAUAUCUACUCCACUUUAUUUUAUGAACUCAUAAGAAGACUCAUAAAGCUGCCAAAAUCAUUUUUUAGAUUAAAGGAGAAACUUCUCCUGACUGUAUUUAAAGAACAUUACAUAUUUACUGGUUUAUUAUUGUGGACUGGACUGUUGCCAUAUUGUCCUGUUUGCAUUCCAGCACAAUCUUACGAAAAAUAAUAUUAAAGCUGUAGUAAUUAUUCGUGAUAACAAUUCGCAAAAUACCCAAAAGUUGAUUAUCUGCCCCCGUCCUCCACAAGUGAUCCUCAGUAAUUCGACAGCCAGGACCAUGCAAAAGAAGUUUUUUCUUUUAGAGAACGCACAAAUGCACCUCAUCAAAAGUAAGUCAUAUAAGGAAAAUCGGAUCUUAAUGUGCGAUGGAGGCCUCUCCGGAUGAGGCUUGCAAACGUUUUCCCUUAAGUGACAUGUGCUGGCUCAAAGUUAAAGUGACAUUUGGGUUUGAUGUGGAACACGGUGCCAGGACAAGGAUGGAUCAUUGCCUUCAAGUCGACCAGAUGGACAAUCCUUCACAAACGCAGGUAGAAAAUGGAGACGUGGCUGCUUAUUUCAGCCACAAAGCCACAAUGUCAUCCAUCAAAACUGUGUUUCCCUCCCUAGACUGUUUAGUGUUUAAGGACACACAUCUUGCCAUUAGACGGCCAGUCUAGAAUAAUACAUGUCAUUGCAAUUGCACUCCCGAAUGGAUGGUCUUACAAAUUGUUUUUGAAACUGAGCCAUGUGUAGUCAUUUUAGCUCAUCACAUACUGUAUGGUUAUUUAUUUAGGCAGAAUACACACAGUGGACGACAGUAUGGAAGCCAACAAUUAUUCGUGAGUGAAUUUUUGGGCGGGAGAAUCGGUAUCUUCUGGCUGGAAACGAUUCUAGAACGAUUCUCACCAGGGAAGGAAUGAUUUGGUUCUAACUGCAUUCUAGCAUUGAGCCCUCUUUAUGAAUUGAAAACUAGCUUGUCCUUAUCAACAAUAUGCACAAAUCCAUGCAUAAAAUAUUACAUUACAUAAUAGAUCUAUUAGUCGUAUACUAUUGUGAAGUUAUACUACAUUAUUACAUACUGCAACCAUAAUCCAAAUUGUUAGUUCAUACCUCUUUGGCAAGUGACAAUAAAAAAAAAUUACAUUAGGAAAGACGAAUUUUCACGACAGCUUUUACUUUAAAUCUCAUUACUGUGUGCCGAUGCACAGUGUUUAAUGAAGUGUCAAGUGAGAAAAUCCAUUCAGGAUUGGUCGGAUGAUUUUUACUUAUUUCUUUUUUCCCCCCCAUACACUUUUGUCACUAAUUAUGUGUUUGAGGACAAAACAGACCAAAAGGCAUUGGGUAACUCAUUCAUUUCCCAACAUGACUCCUUUGUUGUGCUCCCAGGCAAUCUACUUCCAAAGUAUCAUUGAAUGGCUCGGUUACUUGAUGGCCCGAAAUCAGAGCAAACAAAUGAAUGCUGCUCUCAACCGCCCACAAAAUCCUUUUGGGUGAUGAAAACAAAUGAAAGCCGUCCCUCUCCCCGGAGGAGCAAGUAUUGCUUCUAUUGACCAGGGCGGCACCUCGAAGAUUCGUAGCAUGUGCAACACAUUACCGCCUCUCCUCACCCAAAACAGAACCUAAACAAAAACAAACGCUGCUGGGAGGCACCCUGCUAAGCAAUUACCAAACAGCUGGAGUUUUGCAAGAUGAGGGUUAUUUUCAGGGUGCAAUAGCUAAUUAACAGUCUGCUCGAAUACUGAAUGAGAGGAAAGACAAAGCUUUCAGUUGAGCCGAUGACGUCAAUGUGACAAGUCUCCCCUCACUAGUUUUGCUCUACUCGUCGACUUAUAGUUGUAAUUUAUCAAAAUAUCAGACUGUCAGAGUAUCAUAAUUUUGUGCAAACAAAUAUUAACAUAAUCCAUAUAUGAUAUAAAAUAUAAAUAACACCUAAAGAUUUAUAUUCACAUACCCUCUCUAACUUAAUAUUAUCGAUUGUGAUUUGUAUUUGAUUAUUCGUCUGGUGGCAUCAUUUAUUGACGUCAACCACUGUUUCAAAGUAUUUAAUUCCACUGUUUUCAGAAGUUCAGUUAAAUCAAUCCCAAAUUAAAAAAGUCAUAUCAUAGUACACAAAGUACACAUUUGCAUAUCUUUUGUAACAUACAGAUAUCAUUUAUAUACAAAAUAAAUAAUAUUGGUCCAAGAAGAGAUCCCUGGGGAACUCCGCAUAUUACUUUCAUUUAAUCCGGAUUUGACUUCCUUUAAUUUCCUUCCUUUAAAUUUGCAUCACAAGCUUAUUUGUCAUUGAAAACCAUUGUUAUUUUUGAUGACUAACCACCCCGUCCGUCCAUUUUCAUGGAUGUUCUUCCAAAAUUUCAGUGUUCAGUGAAAAUGUGCAAAACAAACAUGCGACUUAUGCCAUUUUCCAUUUUGUAUUAUUUUGUGAAAAUGGAGAGAAGAUGAGACUGCACCAUGAGAUGUAGUCAGUCAUAUGAAGGCCUCUCUGUCACAAGACAAUUGGUUGACAGUCAACAAAAGCGAUCACGCAUCCUGAUCGAGCAGGAUUUGGAAGAACUUACCAUAGUCACUAAACACAUUAUCUAACUGUUUAAGAGGCAAUACAGUCAUUUCAGUGACUCCAAUAGAACUUGCCAUGCUCGAACACUAUGACCAAUUAGUCAUAAACGUGCACAAGAAGUUGAAAUGUAACGAGGGGAAUGACCCAAGCAGUCGCUAGCUCAGCAGUAUGCAUGGCUAAUUUGAUUAGAACAACCACAUUAAUGAAGAGCGGACCUCUCAGGGGUGCACGUGUUUACGUUACACGUGUAGUUUGCGUGCGCAGCCACCCCAUAGGUCCUUCUACAAGACCCUCAUUUGGAGGAAAUGGAGGCCGUUUAAAUGUUUUAUGUCUGCUGCUAUAAUGGCAAGCUUUCAGUUAAGGCCGCUUCGAUGGCCGAUUCUGUCAAAGUGAUGGCAUUUAAGGAGGGGCAUUGCAAGUAGAGUUUAAAAGUUCUAGUCAUUGAUUGACUUCAGUCAUUUUCAUUCUGAUGCCUUUCCUGCAGAGAAUAGUAAACUUGAGAUACACUUAUACAAAGGUUUUCUUCUUUGUUUUUAACACAAAUAGGUCAUGAUUUUUCCGAGUUUAGUCAGUAAUCUACUAAGCAUUUCCGAUAUUAAUCAUUGAUCAAUUGUAUCAUUGCAGUUAUUUUUCUGGAAGAAACAGAGUCAAAAUACUACUUUUGCUACACACUGUUGAUUCAUUCUUAAUGACUUUGCUGUCUCAAGAAGACAACUUAUUACUUAGAGAAGUUAAGCUACUUUUACACAAUGGCAACUCCUUUGAGGGGCAUUUUUCUACUCAAUACAACACUGGCAUUGAAACAGGAGUUUCAUUAUCCCUCUGCCUUUCCUCGAUAUGUCUUACACAAAAAGUCACAGUGUCCAGUCUCUUGUGGCAGUUAACACCAUCUACACAACCAGUGUGCCACUUUCUGCACAUGACAAAUCUUCUGAGGUCAUUUAAUGACUUUGGCGCCUUUUUGGAUGCCUUUUCUUUGCAGCUAGUGAUGGAUCGGUAUGAUUUUAAAGUCGGUUGCCAGGAUUUUAUAGGAAGGCACAGCUCAAAUGGAAUCUUUGAUAUCCGAUAACAUCUCUCCACUCAACCCAUGGCAAAUUCUUUCAUCUUUUUCUUUCUGGUUCCCUUUCAUUUCUUCUCCUCAAGCCGUACAGUGUAGUUUAGCAGAUUGCGAUGAAUAGUGAUGUCAGCGAGGAACAGGUGGUCAAGAGGGCAGAGUGGUUGCCAGCUACCACAGCGAAUGUGGUUCAAUCACUGAUAGACAGUGCCAACCUCAGUUUGCUUGUGGUUUCCAGUGUAUAGCACUGGCCAGACCAAGCAGAUGGAAGGCUAGUCAGGGAUCACGGUCGUGUCACUGAGCCUGGUGUCUCUUAUUGGCAGGUAGGACUUGUAUGGACCAGUCUGUCAUGAUCCGUGUUUUUGUUGACUUUGGUUUGAUCAGAUUUAGUUUUGUGUCAUGUUUCCCAUGUGUCACUUUUUAUGACUUGUCAACUCAUUAAACUGCUGAACAUCAAAGCAAUAUUAAGUGUUAAAAGUCAUUUUGUGCAUUUUUUCAACAAUAAUUAAUUGAGAAAAAAAAUCUUGGUACUAUGUUUGUCUUACAAUUUAUUCCAAAUCUGCAAAAGAAUUAGUAGACCCGUUCAGGUUCUAGUAUAGGACAUUGCAAGCGCAACUAAGCCAGAACUGCUAUCUAGUGGUGAAUUGUGCUAGUACAACUUAAAAGUGGAACCCCCAGCCUGCAAAUGGGAAAAUCCGUGUUUAAUAUAUGACCAGUAAAAUUGGGAUUUUUUUUU